AACUAACGCUGGCGGCGCGUCUUAAACAUGCAAGUCGAACGGAUGUAGCAAUACAUUAGUGGCGAACGGGUGAGUAACACGUAGGUAAUCUACCUCGAAGUCUGGAACAACCUGAUGAAAAUCAGGCUAAUACCGGAUAGUAUUAAGAAGUCGAAUGAUUUUUUAAUUAAAGACAUUUAUUGCGCUUCGAGAUGAGCCUGCGCCUGAUUAGCUAGUUGGCGGUGUAAUGGACCACCAAGGCGACGAUCAGUAGCCGGCCUGAGAGGGUGAACGGCCACAUUGGGACGUGAGACACGGCCCAGACUCCUACGGGAGGGCAGCAGUUAAGAAUCUUGCUCAAUGGGGGAAACCCGUGAAGCAGCGACGCCGCGUGAACGAUGAAGGUCUUCGGA
rnacentral:rRNA from 1 species